AAAUUGGAUGCCAUGUUCGAUUUCAAUUUCGAUGAAUCAGCAAUUAUAGAGAAUGAUUUAGGUAGCAUGAGUGAAAUAUGUAAAUUCUGUAAUGCUAAACAUUUUAAAUUUGAAAUAUUAUGUGAUAAGAAGUUUGCUAAUUGUUGCGAUAAAAGAAACGUUGUAUUAUCUGACAAUAUUACUUAUCAUUAACGUUUAAAAGAAUUAGUUUCUGGAAAUACUGACGAAAGUAAACACUUUUUAAAUCGCCUCGCAAUCACGAUGACAAACUAAUGUGUCAUUUUCUUUAAUGCUAUUAAAGGAAUUAGAUAAUUUUUUUCGACAAGUAUGAUGCACGAAGUCGAAAUGGAAGAACAAAAUCGUUUGAAAAACAACAACGUUGAGUUAAAUAGUAAAGAAAUUAUAAUGUAUUAAACACGCAAUUUUAAUCAUGAUAAACGUAGAUAUAACGCAGCUAAAUGUGAUAAAGUAGCUAUGGUAUUUGUAGGUGAACAUGGUCAACCACCAGAAGAUCGAGAUAUGGAUGCCCAAUACAAAAAAUAAAAAUAACAAAAACAAUAUUUCAAUGCUACAAUGUUAUUGUCAUAGCAUCAGAAACGAUUUUAAUCCUUACUUAAAUUUAGGAAAGUCAACUCAACAAUGCAUAGUUGAUGCUUGGGUAACAGUUAAAGGUUCACGAUUAUUUUUUUAAAAUAAAAAUCAACACCAAUUGAGGACAGAUUUAUAUAAAGGUGUCAUAAUAAUAACUUAGAAUGAUAACUUAAAAUAAAAGUAACGAUGAUAACGUAAAAAAUGGAAGAAAGGUUAUAUUACCUUCAACAUUUUCAGGAAGUCCACGAUCGUUACAACAAAACUUUUUAGAUUCAAUGACAAUAGUUUAAAAGUAUGGUAAACCAGAUCUUUUUAUUACUAUGACAUGUAAUCCAAAAUGGAAGGAAAUUAAACAAAAUUCGAGAAAAAAUGAAUGAGCUAUUGAUAGAUCUGAUUUAGUAGCAAAAGUUUUUAAUGCAAAAGGUAAUGAAUAAUUAAUGAAUAAUUAAAUUAUAAGCAGAAUGUACUUUGUAAAUCCGAAGGAUCGUGAAAGAUUGUUUUCAAGAUUAUUAUUACAUGUAAAAGGGACUCAAUCUUAUAAAGAAUUAAAAACAUUCGCAAAUGUUACAUAAGCAACAUUUCAUGAAGUAGUUGUAGCUAGAAAAUUAAUAACCACUAAUAAAAAAUGGGACAAAUGCUUGGAAUAAGCAA